rnacentral:rRNA from 1 species
GGCGAGGCCGACAGGCGUAGUCGAUGGACAACGGGUUGAUAUUCCCGUACCGGCGAAAAACCGCCCAUGCUGAACAGGGGAUACUAACCGCCCGAAGCCUGCCCUAUCACCCUUGUGGUGUGCGGGUUUUGGUGGAGCGCGGGACCUGAUCCUGGGAGGCAAGCGUAUUAACAGGUGUGACGCAGGAAGGUAGCCGAGCCGGGCGAUGGUUGUCCCGGUCUAAGGAUGUAGGGCGAACGGUAGGCAAAUCCGCCGUUCAUGAUGCCUGAGAUCUGAUGGGACUCCCGUAAGGGGGGAUUCGGUGAUCCUAUGCUGCCUAGAAAAGCAUCGGCGCGAGGUUUUAGCCGCCCGUACCCCAAACCGACACAGGUGAUCAGGUAGAGAAUACUAAGGCGAUCGAGAGAAUUAUGGUUAAGGAACUCGGCAAAAUGCCCCCGUAACUUCGGGAGAAGGGGGGCCCCAACCUUGAACGGACCGUGCGUCCGGGAGGGGAUCGGGGCCGCAGAGACCAGGGGGAAGCGACUGUUUACUAAAAACACAGGUCCGUGCGAAGUCGCAAGACGAUGUAUACGGACUGACUCCUGCCCGGUGCUGGAAGGUUAAGAGGACCGGUUAGCCGCAAGGCGAAGCUGAGAAUUUAAGCCCCAGUAAACGGCGGUGGUAACUAUAACCAUCCUAAGGUAGCGAAAUUCCUUGUCGGGUAAGUUCCGACCUGCACGAAUGGAGUAACGACUUCCCCGCUGUCUCAACCAUAAACUCGGCGAAAUUGCAGUACGAGUAAAGAUGCUCGUUACGCGCAGCAGGACGGAAAGACCCCGAGACCUUUACUAUAGUUUGGUAUUGGUGUUCGGAGUGGCUUGUGUAGGAUAGGUGGGAGACGUUGAAGCCCGGACGCCAGUUCGGGUGGAGUCAUCGUUGAAAUACCACUCUGGUCACUUUGGACAUCUAACUUCGGCCCGUAAUCCGGGUCAGGGACAGUGCCUGAUGGGUAGUUUAACUGGGGCGGUUGCCUCCUAAAAAGUAACGGAGGCGCCCAAAGGUUCCCUCAGCCUGGUUGGCAAUCAGGUGUCGAGUGUAAGUGCACAAGGGAGCUUGACUGUGAGAGAGACAUCUCGAGCAGGGACGAAAGUCGGGACUAGUGAUCCGGCGGUACAUUGUGGAAUGGCCGUCGCUCAACGGAUAAAAGGUACCUCGGGGAUAACAGGCUGAUCUUGCCCAAGAGUCCAUAUCGACGGCAUGGUUUGGCACCUCGAUGUCGGCUCGUCGCAUCCUGGGGCUGGAGUAGGUCCCAAGGGUUGGGCUGUUCGCCCAUUAAAGCGGUACGCGAGCUGGGUUUAGAACGUCGUGAGACAGUUCGGUCCCUAUCCGCUGCGCGCGCAGGAAAUUUGAGAAGGGCUGUCCUUAGUACGAGAGGACCGGGACGGACGAACCUCUGGUGUGUCAGUUGUACUGCCAAGUGCACCGCUGAUUAGCUACGUUCGGAUGGGAUAACCGCUGAAAGCAUCUAAGCGGGAAGCUCGCUUCGAGAUGAGAUUUCCAUACACCUUGUGUGUGAGAGGCCCCCAGCCAGACCACUGGGUUGAUAGGCCGGAUGUGGAAGCGAGGACUAACGACUCGUGAAGCUGACCGGUACUAAUAGGCCGAUAACUUACACC